UCAUCAUUGAGAGCAGCAUUG
rnacentral:miRNA from 1 species